UAGGGUUUUGAUUCUGAAUUCUGCUCCCCAAAAUCACUAGAACCAUAAACUUCGCUCCACCAAUAUUGAUCGAAUAAUCCUCCAGGGAAAACCAUCACCGAUGGAAUCAUCCUCCGCUCCACCUCACUGUCAACAAUCUCCACUGAAUCACAUGGCAACGAUUGGACUUUAACAACAAGAACAAAACAAAGAUCGAUCGUUGAGUCCACAAUCUGAGAUCGAUCUAUUCCUUCAGGGUUUUAAUUUCACUAAUAUUUGUUGUGUUUGAUUCUUCGAUCACGGCAGCUCCGUUCUUUUCAACGCCGUUUCAGCCCUUUGUUUAUCAGGCGUUCAACUGUGUGCUAUUUCUAAGACUAUCUGUAGUCACGCGCCCUCGCUUUUUAAGCGCCUUGCGUCUAGGCCCAAGGCUCACCUUUUGCGCCUGUGACAACUAUGAGCCACAUCAGUACCAUGUACUAUCAAAGUGACGAUCUGUCCUGAGUUAACUGCUUACUUGACUGUUGGCUUCUGAUGAUUGGUGCUGGUAUGCGGUCUGCAAGGUUGUGGCAAUUCAGAUGUUUAAUACUUGAGUCUCUAAGUGCAAAUUUGCAUCAUGAGUUAGACUAUCAGCUACUAUGGUUACUAUGAUUGAAAAGUUGAACUAGUUAUCAAGGAGCUCAUUGAAGAAAAGGAUGAAGAAAAAGAAAAAGAAAGGCUAAAUGGAAUUGUUGCAGGGUUGUUGGCUGAAAAAAAAAAAGAUAAGGUGGAUAAAGAUGCUAUACUCGAUACGAUGUCACAAAUUGAAGCUGUGUUAACAAGUACAAUUUGAAGAUAGGUUACAAACACUUGGUUUUGAAUGUUUCGAUGUUUAUCGUAUUAGGAUUUUUUUAGUUAUUUGAUGUUUUAGCUGGUAUUUCUAUUAGAAUGUUUUGUAUGCUUUUGAUACAUAGAUGUUUUAUAUAAUUUUGGGUUUUCGU
rnacentral:lncRNA from 1 species